rnacentral:rRNA from 1 species
GUAAACCCAAGGUUUCCAGGGGAAGGUUCGUCCGCCCUGGGUUAGUCGGGACCUAAGCUGAGGCCGAAAGGCGUAGGCGAUGGACAACAGGUUGAUAUUCCUGUACUAACGAUAACCGCUUGAGAGAAGGGAUGACACAGUAGGAUAAGCUAAGCACACUGUUGGUUAUGUGUGCCCAAGCAUUGAGGCAGUCAAAGUAGGCAAAUCCGCUUUGAUAAUGCUGGGAUGUAGGAGGAAAUU